AUGCACGCUGGCGGCGUGCCUAAUACAUGCAAGUCGAGCGAACAGACGAGGAGCUUGCUCCUCUGACGUUAGCGGCGGACGGGUGAGUAACACGUGGAUAACCUACCUAUAAGACUGGGAUAACUUCGGGAAACCGGAGCUAAUACCGGAUAAUAUAUUGAACCGCAUGGUUCAAUAGUGAAAGACGGUUUUGCUGUCACUUAUAGAUGGAUCCGCGCCGCAUUAGCUAGUUGGUAAGGUAACGGCUUACCAAGGCGACGAUGCGUAGCCGACCUGAGAGGGUGAUCGGCCACACUGGAACUGAGACACGGUCCAGACUCCUACGGGAGGCAGCAGUAGGGAAUCUUCCGCAAUGGGCGAAAGCUUGACGGAGCAACGCCGCGUGAGUGAUGAAGGUCUUCGGAUCGUAAAACUCUGUUAUUAGGGAAGAACAAAUGUGUAAGUAACUAUGCACGUCUUGACGGUACCUAAUCAGAAAGCCACGGCUAACUACGU
rnacentral:rRNA from 1 species